rnacentral:rRNA from 1 species
GGAAUCUUCCACAAUGGGGGCAACCCUGACCGAGCAACGCCGCGUGAGUGAAGAAGGUUUUCGGAUCGUAAAGCUCUGUUGUAAGAGAAGAACGUGUGUGAGAGUGGAAAGUUCACACAGUGACGGUAACUUACCAGAAAGGGACGGCUAACUACGUGCCAG